rnacentral:rRNA from 1 species
UACGUAGGGUGCGAGCGUUGUCCGGAAUUAUUGGGCGUAAAGGGCGCGUAGGCGGCUUGGCAAGUGGAUGGUGAAAUCCCUCGGCUUAACCGAGGAACUGCCGUCCAAACUGCUUCGCUUGAGACCGGGAGAGGUGAGUGGAAUUCCCAGUGUAGCGGUGAAAUGCGUAGAUAUUGGGAGGAACACCGAUGGCGAAGGCAAUCCCCUGGGCCUGCACUGACGCUCAUGCACGAAAGCGUGGGGAGCGAACAGG